rnacentral:rRNA from 1 species
GUGGGGAAUAUUGGACAAUGGGCGAAAGCCUGAUCCAGCCAUGCCACGUGUGUGAAGAAGGUCUUCGGAUUGUAAAGCACUUUAAGUUGGGAGGAAGGGCAGUAAGUUAAUACCUUGCUGUUUUGACGUUACCGACAGAAUAAGCACCGGCUAACUUCGUGCCAGCAGCCGCGGUAAUACGAAGGUUGCAAGCGUUAAUCGGAAUUACUGGGCGUAAAGCGCGCGUAGGUGGUUUUGUAAGUUGGAGGUGAAAUCCCCGGGAUCAACCGGGGAACUGCCUCGAAAACUGCAUGACUAGAGUACGGUAGAGGGUAGUGGAAUUUCCUGUGUAGCGGGGAAAUGCGUAGAUAUAGGAAGGAACACCAGUGGCGAAGGCGACUACCUGGACUGAUACUGACACUGAGGGGCGAAAGCGUGGGGAGCAAACAGGAUUAGAAACCCGAGUAGUCC